rnacentral:lncRNA from 1 species
CCCCGAAGUUGUCUGCCACCAAAAUGAAAAGAAGCCGUGGGGUCCAAGCUUCUCUUUCCACCUGGUGUCCAUGUGAGCGAGGUCUCCCAGACGUAAAGGAAGAUGGGGACACCGUUCCUGGUGAGCUGUCACGAGAGGAAGCCCGUCCAUCUCGUUCACAGAGGCAUUUCCAACACAACGUCCCCUAAUGUACAACGUCAUGGUUCGAUACGCGUAUAUGUUGCGAAAUUGUCACCACAGUCCGUCUGGUUCACGUCAUCACCUCAAUUCUACUCCUAGGAACCCACUUCCUGGGACCUUUAUUACCCGCCACCUGGGCUGUGCCUGAUGACCCCGGAAGCCGAGGAAAGAAUGCACAAAGGAAAAUGCACAACGUGACCACGUUCCAGAGGAACAUUUCUG